rnacentral:lncRNA from 10 species
GUUCCCAGGGAUACCGCGGCGAGCGCCUGUGCCUGCGCCCUCAGCUGCCAGUGCGUCAUUUCGGAAAACGAGUCACCUUACUUUGGGGAAGCAGGGGUCCGCGAGGUCUCGCCUCUGGUACUCUUAGUUGCUAGCCUUCAGUACCAGCAGACCUCAGGCUCUCCCGACUAACAACAAAAGAGACAUCAGGAAUGAUCUGAUGGGAGGACCCGACGACGGAACGCCACGAUGCGCGUGACGUCAGCUCGCUGAUGUGGCUUCCUUGGUGGGAGGGAGUGCAACUGGUGUCCUGGGGGCGCCCAGAGAAUGUUCGGGUGAGCCACUCUCCUUCGCCGCCGCGUUGUAGGUGGGAGGGAAGAGAGUACGAAGAGAAAGUGAUCAAUAAAAGAAAGAUAGUAAAAGUGAAACUGAAAGUAGCCUGACGAGCCUCAGUUGAAGAGUGAAUGGUAUUGAAAAGUUGCAGUGUUGUUUUCCUCUAACGGCUAACACCUAUUGAGCUCCUACGCCCUACCAAACACUUUCCUUACCAAGCACCCUGCUAGGAGCUAUGAAGAACUCCCUCACUAAGUAACAGAGAGAAAAAUAAAUUAACGAUUACAAUACAGUGCAAUUAAAUGUCAUGCUAGAAAAAAAAGAUAUGCCAAGUCGGUGCUGUGGAGACCCAGAAUUAGUUUCAACCCAAUAGAGGAGUUGAGGAAAGAAGCAAAGAGAGUAAACUGGACAUGCAAAGAAUAGGGGCCUCAGAGUGUAGGAUAUACUGGCACUUGAGGUAAUCGGGUUAGAAAGAGGAGAUGAGGAAGCUAAAGAAGUAAAUUGGUCACAUCUGGAAGGGUCUAAUCUUUUGGCACGUUAAGGGAUUCGAGAUUUUUCUGCAAGUAAUAGGACGCAAUGGGAUUCCAGAGAGACACCAUGUGAUGGUAUCAUAUAUAAAGAUCGUUCUGCGGGAAGCUGCAGUGGAUAUUCAUGGUCCCUCAUCCAGUUUCCAGUCUAGAUCAAUUCCCCAGACCAUGGUUAUGUCCAGGCUAUAAGGAACCGUCCCACUGAUGAGUGGUUCAAUGUCAAUGAAUUCUCCUUUAUCCAGCCUUAUAUUUUACUCCCCUAGUAUCAGGUACACAUCACAUGUUAGACAGAAUUAACGUCCUCUUUGAUGUUUACGCUAUUAUUUUCUGAAGCAAAAGUAUGAUACAUCUUUGCCAGCUCUAGCGGCAUGUAACUCCAUGAAAUGUCUGCUAAUUGUCUAACUACUGCAUUAGGGGAAAAAAAUAUUAGCAGAGUAGGCAUAUUUGCAACUUUAUUUGUGGGUGAGGGCUAAAACCCAAUAUGUAUAUGUACAAGUAUGUGUGUGCACAUACAUAGAGUUACCAGCAAUGUGACAGCUGCAUAUUCAAAUUAACAGAUGGUUGUAUUGACAACUCAGACACGAAGACUGAGAUAGCCAUUAGUGAUGUGAUUUUCUGAAAUAUUGCUAUUAUUGGUAAGAUUCAGAACAAAAUUCCUUGGUUUAC